GUCCUAAGGUAGCAAAUUUCCUUGUCGUCCUAAUAACGACCUGCAUGAAACAUAGAACGAUUCGAUAGCUGUCUUGCACACACAUCAUGGUAAAAUAUUCAUCAGUACGAAUAAUAUGCUGACUAAAGUUUAUUAACACUAAAGGACAAAAAGACCCUCUGAAGAAGUCCUUCCCAGUACUUAAAUGCUAUCUUAAUGAGCUUUAAAUUAAUUUACCCGAGUUAAGGUACUCUACGGAUAACAGGCUUAAUUUCCGCAAUAUUAAAGGUCACAUUAUCACGAAAAAUGUACCUCGAUGUCGGCUUAUCAUCACUAAAAUAGGUAGCUUAAUUAUUGGUGGGAGUCUCAUCCCGUAAAUUGGUUCGUGAGCUGGGUUCAAU
rnacentral:rRNA from 1 species